UCCGAAGGUCUUCUUUCCUUUUUUUCUCUUAUUUAUACCACCUUUAGGGUUCAGCCUCCUUUUAGAACCCUUUUUGCCUGCCUUCUUCUUGGAGAUCCCAUCCACAAGAAGAAGAGGAGCCUUAUCCUUCUUGAUAUGGCUCUCUGCUGUCUUGAGCAUAUUUAACAGCUCAGGCAAGGAAGAAUUCAGUUUGUUCAUGUGAUAGUUCAUGACAAACUGAGAAAAUGAUUCUGGGAGUGAUUGCAGGAUUAGAUCCUGACUCAACUCUCCAUCCAUAA
rnacentral:lncRNA from 1 species